GAUGAAACGCUAGCGGCAGGCCUAACACAUGCAAGUCGAGGGGCAUCGCGGUGCAGCAAUGCACUGGCGGCGACCGGCGUACGGGUGCGUAACGCGUAUGCAACCUGCCCCGCACCGGGGGAUAGCCCGCCGAAAGGCGGAUUAAUACCCCAUGGUCCCGGGGGCCCGCAUGGGCAUCCGGGUAAAGCCUUGGCGGUGCGGGAUGGGCAUGCGUGCCAUUAGCUGGCUGGUGGGGUAACGGCCCACCAGGGCAACGAUGGCUAGGGGGUCUGAGAGGAUGGUCCCCCACACUGGUACUGAGACACGGACCAGACUCCUACGGGAGGCAGCAGUGAGGAAUAUUGGUCAAUGGGCGGAAGCCUGAACCAGCCAUGCCGCGUGCGGGAUGAAGGCCCUACGGGUUGUAAACCGCUUUUCCCCGGGAAGAAUAACCCCGAUGAGUCGGGGGAUGCCGGUACCGGGGGAAUAAGGAUCGGCUAACUCCGUG
rnacentral:rRNA from 1 species